rnacentral:rRNA from 1 species
GAUGAACGCUGACAGAAUGCUUAACACAUGCAAGUCUACUUGAACUUCGGUUUGGGUGGCGGACGGGUGAGUAACGCGUAAAGAACUUGCCUUACAGUUAGGGACAACAUUUGGAAACGAAUGCUAAUACCUGAUAUUAUGAUUUUAGGGCAUCCUAAGAUUAUGAAAGCUAUAUGCGCUGUGAGAGAGCUUUGCGUCCCAUUAGCUAGUUGGAGAGGUAACGGCUCACCAAGGCGAUGAUGGGUAGCCGGCCUGAGAGGGUGAACGGCCACAAGGGGACUGAGACACGGCCCUUACUCCUACGGGAGGCAGCAGUGGGGAAUAUUGGACAAUGGACCAAAAGUCUGAUCCAGCAAUUCUGUGUGCACGAUGACGUUUUUCGGAAUGUAAAGUGCUUUCAGUUGGGAAGAAAAAAUGACGGUACCAACAGAAGAAGUGACGGCUAAAUACGUGCCAGCAGCCGCGGUAAUACGUAUGUCACAAGCGUUAUCCGGAUUUAUUGGGCGUAAAGCGCGUCUAGGUGGUUAUGUAAGUCUGAUGUGAAAAUGCAGGGCUCAACUCUGUAUUGCGUUGGAAACUGCAUGACUAGAGUACUGGAGAGGUAAGCGGAACUACAAGUGUAGAGGUGAAAUUCGUAGAUAUUUGUAGGAAUGCCGAUGGGGAAGCCAGCUUACUGGACAGAUACUGACGCUAAAGCGCGAAAGCGUGGGUAGCAAACAGG